UUUUGGACAAUGGGGGCAACCCUGAUCCAGCAAUGCCGCGUGAGUGAAGAAGGCCUUCGGGUUGUAAAGCUCUUUUGUCAGGGAAUAAACAGUAGCUCUAACACAGUCUGCGAAUGACGGUACCUGAAGAAUAAGCACCGGCUAACUACGUGCCAGCAGCCGCGGUAAUACGUAGGGUGCGAGCGUUAAUCGGAAUUACUGGGCGUAAAGCGUGCGCAGGCGGUUAUACAAGACAGGCGUGAAAUCCCCGGGCUUAACCUGGGAAUGGCGCCUGUGACUGUAUAGCUAGAGUGUGUCAGAAGGGGGUAGAAUUCCACGUGUAGCAGUGAAAUGCGUAGAUAUGUGGAGGAAUACCAAUGGCGAAGGCAGCCCCCCGGGAUAACACUGACGCUCAUGCACGAA
rnacentral:rRNA from 1 species